GCCACAGUUACUUCCUCACCAGUAUGACUGCACGGAAACUCUGCUUUCUCCUGCUUCUUCUUCCACUUGUGGUUUUUAGCAGUGAAGAGACUCUUGUGAAGACAAUUGGAAAGAAACCCGAUUCCACUCAAAUAUGCAGCAAAACAACACUGAAUAUUACUGUGAUGAUACUGUGUGAGAUCAGCACAGAGAGGAGCCGAGGAGAACAGUGCCGUCUGCUCUAUCGUUACAAUGAAGGCUUUACUCAUGGGUGUGACUCCAGGUUCACACUGAUCAAAGAAAAUGAGACUGUGUUUCUCCACCUGGUCAACUUAACAUCUGAAGACAGUGGGAACUACACCUGUGAGUGUGUAUUUCGUGGUGGACUGUAUGUUCUCCAUCUCAGUGUGACUGUGAGAGAGGAUGGAGAUUUUUCUGGCAUGAAGUUCAUGGCUACAGUUACCAUCAUUUCUGCUGCUGCUUCACUCAUCAGUGUGGCUGUGAUAACCUGUUGUUACAGCCUGAGGAGAAAUCCUCACAGAGAAAACAGAUCAGGGCUAUCUAACUUGACAGGAUCUGAAACUCGCCAGCUGUUUGACAAAGAGGACCACUACAUGAGCCUUCAUCGGCAAAACAUUGAUGCCUACCAAACUAUCUCCUCCGGUCGCCUUCAUCAUGAUGCUGAGGCCACUCCAUGUCGCAGUCAUGUACAAUAUUAAUCAGAGAUGGAGGGAUUUUUUACCCUGACUACAUAAUUUAUAAAACUAUGAUGCUAGACUUACUAUUUAUAAAAGACACUGACAUUUUAACUUGCCAGCAUCAUGUGUACUGUACUGUUAGUUUGUUUGCUUUGCACUGAAAAAAGAGAAAAAUAUUAAC